rnacentral:rRNA from 1 species
AUUGAACGCUGGCGGCAGGCCUAACACAUGCAAGUCGAACGAGUGGCGGACGGGUGAGUAAUGUCUGGGAAACUGCCCGAUGGAGGGGGAUAACUACUGGAAACGGUAGCUAAUACCGCAUACCAUCGGAUGUGCCCAGAUGGGAUUAGCGAGUAGGUGGGGUAACGGCUCACCUAGGCGACGAUCCCUAGCGGGUCUGAGUGGAUGACCCGACACAAUGGGACUGAGACAAGGCCCAGACUCCUACGGGAGGCAGCAGUGGGGAAUAUUGCACAAUGGGAGCAAGCCUGAUGCAGCCAUGCCGCGUGUAGGAAGAAGGCCUUCGGGUUGUAAAGUACGUUCAGCGAGUAGGCGUUACUCGCAGAAGAAGCACCGGCUAACUCCGUGCCAGCAGCCGCGGUAAUUC